CCGCCCCUCCGGGGACCGCGCCUGGGGGGGCUGCGGCCACCCGGGGACGGCGGCACCGGGCACAGCGGUUCGGGGGCGGAGGGGAUGUGUAUCAUCGGGGCCGCCCGUUUCUCUGCCCGGCCACGCACCGUGCGUGGGUCCCGGCCACUUUCCAGCGCCCCCGAGCCGAGCGCGAAAGGACGCGCGGGGCCCGGCAGCGCCGCGGCGAAGUUGGCCCGUCCGGUCCCCAUCCUGGUCCCCGUCCCGGUCCUGGUCCGGCGCUGAGGCGAGGGGAGGCCAGCGUUCAACAACACACAGAGGAGGCUCAGACAUGACGGGAAGAUUAAUUUAUCCAAUUGAAACAGCAGGGGGAAUUCAGGUAGGUGGAAUUUAAUUACUGGAUUUGGAAGAGAAGAUGUGAAUCUCCAGAGCUGUCAAGAGCACUUAAAAAAUAAAAUCAUAAUCAUUGACACAGAGCAGGGCAGCUGUUGGUAUGCCAGCUACAGCUUGGUCCCAGGCCAUGGUCCUGCAGGGAUGGCCCUCAGUGUCAUCCCUGUCCCGUGGAGCGUUCCCUGCUGGCUCCACACACAGCCCUGGCACAGCAACCCUGUCCACGCAGGGCAGCCAAAGUGGGAAUUACAGACAUUGCUGAGGGCAAAAAAAACCCCUGGAGUAGGACUCCAGAAAAGAGCUGCCUUGCCCAGCUGUCCCUGCUCACCUGCCUUACUCACUGCCCUUCGAUCCUGCCACUGACAAGUAUUGCACAAGCUGAGCAAUCCCUUGCAGAAGACAUUAGAGAAUAAAUUAAGUAUUGGAGCAGAUGUGAGUCAUUCCUGUUAGUACAAGAACUACAGAACAAACCCCAUAAAAACAGGAAUCCAUGCAUAAAGUAACAUAUGGAAUGAGUCUGAGAUAAGAUGUCAAAUGCUGGAAAGUCCGAUGCACAUGUUGUAAACAGCCUCUCCUAUGCGUUUCCCACACACUCCUCUUGGUUUUAUUAUUUCCUGCAGUUGUUUUCUGUCACUUGCUAAUUUAUCAUUUGCGAUCUUCAUCGUCUGUCCUUCUCCGAUUUAUUUCCAGGACUCAGUAAGCCCUUCUCCCCCAACAAAAUCCAUGCCUCUCAGGCCCAGCACUCACAGAAAGAUGCCCAGAUAAAAAUUUCAUUAGCAUCCACAAAAAGGGACAUUUCUCUUUCUUUGUUUCAAGGCCGUCUGACUUUGAAAUGCCUUUAUCAGAACAAUGAAAUCCAGGUCCAGUGGGUAGGCUUAGGUUGUCGUUGCAAAACAAGCUUCAACAGCAUGGCCAAGCAGGAGCAGAACCGCGUGGGAACAGAGUGGAAAGCCCUUGUGCCAUGGUGAGCCGUCAACCUGACACUGCAUGGGAGGCCCAUGCCAGCCUGAAAAUGCCACCAAUUCCCAUGGUGCCACACCAACUAACCUUCCUCAGGCCCAUGGUCAGUGUAGCUGGACCACUGCACUCCAGCUCUGCCACCAUGAGACAUCUCUACCCAACCUAGAAGGGACCUGCAGGUAAAUGCAGCAGGUGUUGCUCUCUUCCCCAAGCUGUUAUUUUAUGUUUUCUCCUGAAAGCUAAGGCUCAUCAAUGGUAGCUUUGCACAGGGCUUAUAUUUGUCUUCUUACCUUGUGUCUACCACAGCUAUUGGCACAGGCUGGUUGCUACCUCUGACAUACCUUCUUCUAACCACAUUUGUGAUAAGAAUGGCUCUCUGACCAAAAAUAUCAUCUUGCCACAAGUAGAAAGUCACCACUGGUGUUUCCCCAACUGGGAUGAAAUGACCUUGACUGCUGUAACGCAGCAUUUCCCCCAGCACAUUCGCAGAGGGUGCCGAGAUUUUCCUACCAUACCUCGUUCUGUGUUAGGAGAGCUUUUCCAGAUAAAGGCACCUGGGUGUUAUCAUUCAAAGCUGGAUUAAAAACCUUGUCUUUUUCAUAGGUCAGACUUUCAGUGGAAGUUAUUACAAAAUAUAAGGGGGAAAUAUAGAAAAUAUCAGGGAAAUACAUUACAAAUUAGAUUACAAGUAAGGUAAUAAAUAGGACAGACCUGACAAAGAUGCAAUCAGAUAAUGCUAUCUUAUUACCUUGAGAAACAACUCCCUCUGCUGAGGGAAAGCUUUAUUGGCAGAGCUCGACGCUGUGAUGAAUAACCCGCUGUGCCCGCAGAGAUAACAGGCAAAGGCCUGACCCGUUCCUGCUAGCGCUGCCGUUAUACCGGCGAGGAGGUGACACCACGAGCACCACGGUGACACCGAACAAAGCCCUGCCUGCUGGAGCCCCGUACCUGCUCUGUGCGGGUAUGUGGUGAGACGGGAGAUUCGAGGAGCGCUAGUGAUGCAUAUGAUCUCCAAAAAAGUCUGUUGCUCCUGACUGUGAGCGUGUGUGCUGCGACAGGUAAUAUAUUGAGCAGAGGAUGGUAACAGCUAUUUAAACAAGAAUAAGGCAAGACUACAAAUCUCUAGGUUCAGAGUUAUCUGAAGUCAUAGACUUUCAGAGACUUGUAUAAAAAUCCUACUGCAAUUCCAUUAAAACCACAGCAAUAAAAAAGAAAAAAAUUGCUAUUAUAUUAUUGAUGGGCCUAUCUUCCCCAUUUUUCUGUUUUUUUCAUCUGCCAAUCUCAGUUGCUUUACAAGUGAGGUCCAUAACAUACUACGUGUUUCCAAGAGAGCAAAAUUUAAGGCCAGCAGUACAUCUAGAGACAGGAAAAAAAAGUGUAGGAAACGGGUAUUUAGCAUUUGUUGGCACUACAAAGUUGAUUAAAGUGAUUGUUUCAUGAGAGCAGAAAUAUGACAGAAUUGUGGGGUACUACGGUGGGUCUGUGGAUUCCCUGAUGGAGGACAUGGCAACAGAAAUUAGCCUUGAAGAUAUGAAGGCCUACCGGUGAGAAAGAUGGGAGUAAAGGAGUAUCCAGAGAUGUUAAGGAUGUACCCGUGAGAGAGAAGGGAGUAGAAGAGUAACAUUGAUGAUAGCAAAAAUAGCCAAUGAGAUGUUACUGCUGUAACUUGUAACCAAUAGUGAAGAGACACAUGAAUUGGUAAAACUGUAUAAAAAUGCAUUUCUGGCAAUAAAUGGCAUCUACUACUUUCAUCCUGGAAGAACUUGGUCUAUGUCGUUUUUCCAUCUCAACCACGACACAUAAAUUUUGAGUGGAAAGGAAAACUCCACAAUCGCAACCUCAGGCGGUGGGGUCCUGAAUUGAAGGAAAGGGUGGUCGGAGAAAGUAGCUCUCCUCACUGUUUCAAGGACACCUGUAAAAGCACAUUUCAAGAGAAUUUAAUCUCACUAGGGUCUGCAAACCACCCAGGCACUGCUUCGGUGCAGUUUAUACGGGGAAUACGCCUGGGUUUGGCUCACAUCUGAAAUCCCACCCAGAGAAAAAACAAGUUUCUUUUCCAAAAGGAUCACAAAUAGUUUGUGUUUUGUUCCUGGAAAUCUGAAAGGGUGAUAAACAGGUAGGUUUGAGAAGUGAUUUGAGGAAAGGAUCAAAAUCUAUCCCUGACGCAGGAUGCUGAACACCACAGCUUCUUGUAAGAUGGAGCAACCCCGCCAAGCUCUGGCUGAGAAAGGGCUUCUAGGACACAGAGACCCAGUGCCAGGGGAGGACCUGGUGCAGAGCCAGCAGUUCAGGGCAGCCCAGGUCUUCCUGCUGUUUAUGGCAAUGCAGCUUCUCGACAAAGAGAUCCUGCUUGCAGUAGCAGAUAUAUCAGGAGGAAUUUGUUUGCAAAAAUAAGAUCUGUGUUUGAAAGGGUCAGCAUGGCCAUAUGGUUACACAGGGAGAUGGAUUUCAUUCAGUGGUCAAACACAUCCUUGCGGUCCCUGCUCCAGGCUUGGGGAAAGAAGCUAACACAGAAGUUUCUCUCCCCACCCCAUGGAAGAGGGUGUGCUGCACUUACUGCAUUUAACCACACUGAAGACAGCGCCGGGAGAGGACGGAGAGCACGUCAAAGCUGCUCCCAAAUAACUGUUUUGGCAAGUGCUGAGCAUUGGCAUGUUUCACAAGAAGCCCAGCUGUCCCUUGUCACCCAUCAGCCGAGGUGCCAGCCUGACUGCAGGGCUCCCAGAGAGCAAGCCAACACAUGUCCCUGGCCCAGGCACCGCCCCGCCAGCCCCAACCUGCUCCCCAGGGGUGACUCAGAAACCAUUUGCUACUUGUCUAGGGGUGGAGCUGUGCUUUGAAUGUGAACAGUCAUGUCAGCGACUAUUCCAGGUUUAUAUUUAAUACAAGAACAAAAAUCCCUUUUCGGAUCUGCAGCUGCUCAGAAAGCCUCCAGGUCACUUGAUCUGUUCCUAAUCCAGUCAACAUGAGUAGAAGAAGGGGAGAAGUCACAGGUCCUUUGCACAGGAGCAAGGAGAGAUUGUUGCUUUGCCAGGGGAGUCCACCAGCUCUGCAGCGCUUGUCACCACUCUGCCUUGUCCCUGUGGCAUGUUGCUGCACGGGUAUGUGUGUCCUGAGCUGCUGGUUCCAAGAUACAGCUCCCAUCACACACAGUCCUCAGGGUUGUGGACAACAGCGAGGACUCUCUGCCACCUCAGGCAGUAGUCUACCAUCUCAAAAAGCAGAUUCUGUGAAGGCUGUUGAAGAUACUGAAGAGAUUAUCCUACAUUUUUGUGGCAGGUGUUAAGCAGACUUCAGAGCCAAAUCUCUACUUCUGUGAUAUGUAACUGUGGCCUGAUGCCACACAGCUGGCAAUAUGUAAUAUUGCACCAGGCAUUUUGUGGUAAGGAGCAUUUUCACAGCUGGAUGAAAAGUUUUACCCUCUUCCACCUACAAAAUGUUUUGUAGAAAAAAGAAAUCUUGACUAUUCAUCCCGCUUUCUUCGGGGAUCCAAAAGCUGAAGAGAGUGAGCCACACACCACCUAACGAUACUUCAAUCCCAUUAUUUAGGUGAAGUGUCUGGGAAUAGACAUUUUUUUCCAUAUACAAUCAAAUGCUCUAUGUAUAAAGAUUUAUAUUUGAUCAGACAAUCUCCUGCUCUCAAUGCAAAACCUCCGAGGGGCUAACAACUAAACCUGCAUCUCCUUGAAAAACAGUUAAAAGCAAACAGCUACUCUGUGCAAAAAGCAGGCAUAACCUCAAGGUCUAUGCUUGCCCCACAUUGAUCUUUUAAUGAGAUCCACUGUGAUCUCCUACAGGAAAAUAUACACCGUGCAACAAAUCCUGCCUACCUGCCUACCUAUACACAGGAACAAUUGUCAACCCUGAACGUCCUCAGGUGGAUUAAAAUCUCAUUUUCCAUCAUGAAAUCAUUGCUGUUGGUUAGAAAACAAAGCAACAGCUUCAUUUUCCCACUAGCAGGACGAAAUUUCAAGGCUGCUGUUUAUAAAACAAAGUAAUGUUUAAUUGCACAAAUUUGUUUUGCUGUUAUUGAGCAAAAACAAGUUAGAUGCCCAACAGCGUUAUUUUUCUUUCCCUGCAUAACACCUCAUUAAUGCAUUCAAACCUGUUAGAGUUUGUUAGUCCCAGAGGCUCUUGUUGAAACAGAACGAUCAAUAGAUGCAAAAAGAACAGGUAAAGAGGCAAUCAGGGUCCUAGAAAGCUGAAAUAUUUCCCAUUAGGACAUUGUAGUAACUUCCCCUGAACAAGCAUUUCAGCAGCUGGUGCUAUGAGCAAGGGGACAUCCCAGGUAGGAGAAACCCGAGUGAGACGCAUCUAGAUUUGACCACACAGAGCAGAACAUGCUCUGGACAGCAAGAUGUGCUGCAAACAGCUUGGGCUAUCCCACACAGGACAGGUACUUCUCAGGAAAUUCUGCGUAUGGGAGAUAAUUGGAAGAAAUGGCUCCAACGUUUCAGGUUCUGAUCUCCUCACAGUAAUGAGCGCACAAGCGGACGAUGCAUAUGCAUGAGAACAUAAUUAAGAGUGGUAAAACCUGGAAGAUUUUCAAACUCGGUGGCAAUUACCAACUUAAACACACAAAAAAUUAAGAUAGCCUUAUACCCAAAGGAAAGUUAUUAUUCCGAGUGCCUUGCCUCAUUAUAGUUAGCUGGGGCUCAGACAGCAGGCGAGCGAGCAGGGGAAAGCUGCCUCCCAUCAGCAGCAGGUGCUCUCCCCAGAAUGGAGGCAGGAUGCUGACAUACAUCCUUCUGCUCUUGCCAAGGCAUCUCAAACGGUCCCAAAAUGCUUUAUCAGGACAAAAAUAGAAAGCAGAGGGCGCACAUGACUGGCAGCUCGGGCUCCCCUGUUGCUCUUUGGGCCUCUCUGGUGAAGAGCAUUCAUGGACAGAGAGCUACCCUGUGUAAAUAGAUUCACUAAAUAAAUGCGGUAAUUAUACCGAAUAUUAUUCUCAGAGGGAACAGCAGUAGGGAAAUGAUUUGCAUAAGAAAUGUGGAUUAUUCAUGUAAAUGAAUGUGUUAUUUGUUUAUAGAAAAAAUUAAGCUAUGUCUAAAGACCUAGAACUCAGCUAUACGUUCCAGAUAACCUUUUACCAGCAUCUCAUGUCUUCACUGUGCCCACCUUUAUGAAAUUCACCUUUGCAGGACUAGCUAUAUUUUUCUCAUAAACCCAUUUUGUUAAAGCUGAAACUCCCCUCAGUCCAGGAGACAGUUAAUCUGCUCAAGGAAGCCUGUUUGGGUUGCCAUUAAAGUACCUUUACAUGAAUUCAGGCUUUUCAUCUUUGUUUCAGCAAGCUGAGACUAGGAGCAGGAGAGAGAGGAGCAUUUUCUAGGUUUGAAAUGCUGAGCAAAAAGCCUGACCGAGGAGGAUGGAUUCUUGAAUUUUCUUCCUCCGUGUGCUGGAUAAAAGGAGGGAGGGGCUCAGGUCCCAGGCUGGCUCUGCCCUGCACAGUCCAGAAGCAACCAGAACUGUCCUCAGUUUUGGGGGACAAUAGUACCUCAUGGCAGGCUAGCAUAGCCUUGUAGACCCCCAGAGCUGGGCUACACCAUGUGCCCACCUUCUACCCUCUGGGCCACACCAAAGCAUGCUCACCGUUGAGGUACUCUAACCCUGCUGCCUGAGCAAUGCAGAAGGGGUUAAUCCUGUUACAACUACAUCCUAUUAACAUCAGGACAGCCUCAUCCUUCAUCCCUGAGAUCCCAAGCCCAGGGUUAUUCAGCAGUGGCUUAACACAAAAAGCAGACAAGCAGCCUUACCUGAUGCUGCAGGACCUUCACCCUGAGACUCAGCCCUGCAGAACAGCCAGCUCAGCUCCCGGACCCAUGCUGGGAAGGGCACUAGCACCCAGCACAGGAGCAGCUUUACUGACAACCAGGAGCCUUUCUCACUAAGCUUUGCUCUCAAGAACCUGCUAACUAGAGGCAGCUCUUCUUACAUGCCAAGUCAUUGAGAAGAAACACUCUUAGCUGAUCCUGACUUUCAUGAGUAUGCAACAGUGUGGACCACCUGAGGAUCUGUUCCUCUAGUUGCUUUAAAGAAUUUGAGGAAGGAUGAAUGUCUACCUCACAAUCAAGCAGGAAAGGCUUCAUUUACUGUCAUGGUGAGCUCUCCAGUGACAGACAUGUUUGCAGCUUAGGUUUUGGUACCUUAAUUCAGCAAGGCAAUGUGGACUUCUCAGCUUGCUUCACCUGUUUCAGGUGGCUGGAGCUGACAGAAGUUCUUUGAUGUUCGUCAGAUUUACUUCAGCGUUCUAAAUAAUUUAGAGAGCAGUGUUGAGUGAUGGCACCUCCACGUGGUCUUUCCACCAAAUUUCUCCUGAGAUUUUGUAUUUCCAGGUAUUUGUGAACCAUUCAAAUAAAAAAAAAAAAAGAGGAAGAAAUAAGGGUACCUUCUACUGGACUCAGCAAUUUAUUCUUGCAGCAUAUGAAUUAUUUUCUGUUAAUUUAUCCCCUAAGUUCUCUAUGUGCUUAGCUAUGUGUUAGUUUGAUAGAGUAUCCCUUUCUUUUUUGCAUUUGAUACAAUUAAAGUUCUGCAAAACUCA